rnacentral:rRNA from 1 species
GAUGAACGCUGGCGGCGUGCCUAAUACAUGCAAGUCGAGCGAACAGACGAGGAGCUUGCUCCUCUGACGUUAGCGGCGGACGGGUGAGUAACACGUGGAUAACCUACCUAUAAGACUGGGAUAACUUCGGGAAUCCGGAGCUAAUACCGGAUAAUAUAUUGAACCGCAUGGUUCAAUAGUGAAAGACGGUUUUGCUGUCACUUAUAGAUGGAUCCGCGCCGCAUUAGCUAGUUGGUAAGGUAACGGCUUACCAAGGCAACGAUGCGUAGCCGACCUGAGAGGGUGAUCGGCCACACUGGAACUGAGACACGGUCCAGACUCCUACGGGAGGCAGCAGUAGGGAAUCUUCCGCAAUGGGCGAAAGCCUGACGGAGCAACGCCGCGUGAAUGAUGAAGGUCUUCGGAUCGUAAAACUCUGUUAUUAGGGAAGAACAAAUGUGUAAGUAACUAUGCACGUCUUGACGGUACCUAAUCAGAAAGCCACGACUAACUACGUG